rnacentral:rRNA from 1 species
UACGGGGGGGGCAAGCGUUGUUCGGAAUUACUGGGCGUAAAGGGCUCGUAGGCGGCCAACUAAGUCGGAUGUGAAAUCCCCAGGCUUAACCUGGGAACUGCAUCCGAUACUGGAUGGCUUGAAUCCGGGAGAGGGAUGCAGAAUUCCAGGUGUAGCGGUGAAAUGCGUAGAUAUCUGGAGGAAUACCGGUGGCGAAGGCGGCAUCCUGGACCAAUUCUGACGCUGAGGAGCGAAAGCCAGGGGAGCAAACGGG